ACGCCGUAAACGAUGAGAACUAAGUGUUGGAGAGAUUCAGUGCUGCAGUUAACGCAAUAAGUUCUCCGCCUGGGGAGUAUGCACGCAAGUGUGAAACUCAAAGGAAUUGACGGGGGCCCGCACAAGCGGUGGAGUAUGUGGUUUAAUUCGAAGCAACGCGAAGAACCUUACCAGGCCUUGACAUGGAUAUAAAUGUUCUAGAGAUAGAAAGAUAGCUAUAUAUCACACAGGUGGUGCAUGGUUGUCGUCAGCUCGUGUCGUGAGAUGUUGGGUUAAGUCCCGCAACGAGCGCAACCCUUGUCUUCUGUUACCAGCAUUAGGUUGGGGACUCAGGAGAGACUGCCGGUGACAAACCGGAGGAAGGUGGGGAUGACGUCAAAUCAUCAUGCCCCUUAUGGCCUGGGCUACACACGUACUACAAUGGCGCCUACAAAGAGCAGCGACACCGCGAGGUGGAGCGAAUCUCAUAAAGGGCGUCUCAGUUCGGAUUGAAGUCUGCAACUCGACUUCAUGAAGUCGGAAUCGCUAGUAAUCGCAGAUCAGCAUGCUGCGGUGAAUACGUUCUCGGGCCUUGUACACACCGCCCGUC
rnacentral:rRNA from 1 species